UAGAUAGAUUUGAUGAGGUUCAGGAAUGUUCCCUCUAUCCCUAGACUUUGAAGCGUUUUAAUCAAGAACAGAUGCUGAAUUUUGUAAAAUGCUUUUUCUGCAUCAAUUGAGAGGACCAUGUAGUUCUUUUCUCUUCUCAUAUUAAUUUGUUGUAUCACAUUGAUUGAUUUGCAAAUGUUGAACCAUCCUUGUAGCCCAGGGAUGAGUCCCACCUGAUCAUGGUAGAUAAUCUUUUUAAUGUGCUGUUGGAUCCUGUUGGCUAGGAUCUUGUUGAGAAUCUUAGCAUCCAUAUUCAUCAGUGAUAUUGGUCUAAAAUUCUCUUUUUUGGUAGGGUCUUUGCCUGGUUUGGGGAUCAGGGUAAUGCUGGCUUCAGAGAAAGAGUCUGGAAGUGUUUCUUCCGCUUCAAUUUCUGAAAAAGCUUCAGGAGAAUAGGUGUUAUUUCUUCUUUGAAUGUUUGGUAGAAUUCCCCAGGGAAUCCAUCAGGUCCUGGGCUCUUGUUUUUUGGAGGUUUUUGAUCACUGCUUCAAUCUCGUUAUUAGAUAUCAGUCUAUUCAGGUUGUCGAUUUCUUCCUGGUUCAAUUUUGGUAGUUUAUAGUUUUCCAGGAAUGCAUCCAUUUCAUCUAAGUUGCUAAGCUUAUUGGCAUAUAACUGUUGAUAAUAACUUCUGAUGAUUGUUCCUACUUCCUUGGUGUUCGUUGUGAUCUCUCCCUUUUCAUUCAUAAUUUUAUGAAUUUGGGCUUUCUCUCUUUUCUUUUGGAUUAGUGUGGCCAAUGGUUUAUCGAUCUUAUCAAUUCUUUCAAAAAACCAGAUUCUAGUUUCAUUGAUACGUUCUACUGUAUCUCUGGUUUCUGCCUCAUUAAUCUCAGCUCUAAUCUUGAUGAUUUCCCUUCUUAUGUGUGGAGUUGGUUUGACUUGUUGAUUCUCUAGUUCUUUAAGGUGUAGAGACAGCUGGUGUAUUCUGGAUUUUUCAAUUUUUUUGAGGGAGGCUUGGAUGGCUAUGUAUUUCCCCCUUAGGACUGCCUUUGCUGUAUCCCAUAGGUUUUGGACAGAAGUGUCUUCAUUCUCAUUGGUUUCCAUGAAUUGUUUCAGUUCUUCUUUGAUCUCCUGGUUGCUCAAGCAUUCUUAACCAAGGUGGUAUUUAGCUUCCAGUUGUUUGCGUUCCUUCUGAACUUUUCCUUGUGAUUGAGCUCCAGUUUCAAAGCAUUAUGAUCUGAGAAUAUGCAGGGAAUAAUCUCAGUCUUUUGGUAUCGGUUGAGUCCUGAUUUGUGACCCAGUAUGUGGUCUAUUCUGGAGAAGGUUCCGUUUGCACUUGAGAAGAAUGAGUAUUCUGUUGUUAGGGUUGAAUGUUCUGUAUAUAUCUAUGAGGUCCAUCUGGUCCAAUGUGUCAUUCAAUGCUCUUGUUUCUUUACUGAUUUUCUGCUUCGAUGAUCUGUCUAUUUCUGAGAGAGGUGUGUUAAGAUCUCCUACGAUUAGUGUAUUCAUAUCAAUAUGACUCUUUAUCUUGAUUAACUUAAUUCUUAAUUCUUACUUAAUUCUUAAGUAAUUGGCUGCCCCCAUAUUGGGAGCAUAGAUAUUUACAAUUGUUAGAUCACCUUGUUGAAUAGUCCCUUUAAGGGUUAUGUAGUGUCCUUCUGUAUCUCUGACUACAGUCUUUAGUUUAAAGUCUAAUUUAUCUGAUGUGAAAAUCGCUACCCCAGCCUUCUUUUGAGGCCCACUGGCAUGAAAGAUGCUUCUCCAUCCCUUCACUUUCAGUCUGCGUGUAUCUUUAGGUUCAAAAUGGGUCUCUUGUAGAAAAGAAGGAUGGGUCCUGUCAUUUUGUCCAAUCUACAACCCUGUGUCGUUUUAUGGGUGCAUUUAGGCCAUUCACAUUGAGAGUGAUUAUUGAUAGAUACGUUUUUAUUGACCUCGAGUUACCUUUGAAGUCUUUCUUUCUGUAGACUGUCUCUAUAUUUCUGUUCAAUGCUAUUCUUGGGAUUUUUCCUCUUUUAUAGAACCCCCCCUUAAUAUUUCCUGCAGUGUCGGCUUGGUGGAUGCAUAGUCUUUUAAGGCUUGCCAGUCUUGGAAACUCUUUAUCUCUCCAUCCAUUUUGAAUGUCAGUCUUGCUGGAUAAAGUAUUCUUGGCUGCAUGUUCUUCUCAUUUAGUGCUCUGAAUAUAUCUUGCCAGCCUUUUCUGGCUUGCCAGGUCUCUGUGGAUAGGUCUGAUGUUAUUCUGAUGGGCUUCCCUCUGUAAGUAAGGAGCCUCUUUGCCCUGGCAGCACUCAAGAGAUUAUACCUACAAUUAUAAUUCCUCAAUUUGACUAUCAGGUAUCGUUAUUAUUAUUAUUAUUUUUUGAAUGUAUAAUCUUUGGUGGAGACCGUUCAGCCUCUAGUACAUGAAUGCUAGUUCCAUUUGCGAGAUUGGGAAAAUUUUCAUGAAGGACUUGUUCCAUUAUAUCUUCUAGACUUCUUUCUUUCUCCUCCCCUUCAGGGAUUCCAAUAAUUCUGACGUUGGAAUGCUUCAUGGCAUCAUUUAUUUCUCUGAUUCUGUUUUCGUGGUUUCUAAGCUGUUUGUUCCAGGCUUACUCCUGAUCCUUUCUCUCUAUCUGUUUGUCCUCCAGAUCACUAAUUCUAUCUUCUGUCUCAGUUACCCUAGCUUUGAGAGAGUUUAGAUUAGAUUGGAACUCAUUGAGAGCAUUGUGAACAUCCUCCCUGGUAGCUUUAAGCUCCGCCCUAACAUUGUGAACAUCCUGUCUGGUCGCUUUCAGUUCAGCCCUAAUCAAUUCCGUUUGGUCAUUCAUGGCUUUCUCCAACCUAGCUAUUGCAUGGAUAAUUGUUAGCCUGAAUUCUCUUUCCGACAUACUGUCUAUGUUGGUAGUCGUUAGCUCUGUUGCAGAAGGUCCAUCCUCUGUAUUUUUCUUCUGUUGUGCAUUCCUCCUCCUAGUCAUUUUGGUGGGAGAUGACUGAACAGAUGUAGCUGGAGGUAUCAACUGUGGCGCAGUCAAGGUGCACCCUGGAACACUUCUGAGCAAUCAGGAUUCCCCACCCAAAUGAGAGACAAAAGAAAAGAAAAAGAAAAAAGAAAAAGAAGAGAGAGAGAGAGAGAGAGAGAGAAGAGACAGGAAAGAAAGGGAAGAUGAAAAAGAAGGUUCAGCCCAGAUGGGCCCCAAGGCUUUCUACAAGUAUAAGAGAGUUACAGAAUUUCAAAGUCUUACUGCAACAAGGCUUUUCUAUGUCUAAUUAGAGACAUAAUCUGACUGUGUGAAGCCUUUUGGUCUUGGACAUUCAGCAGAAGGAGACUAAUCUUCAAAGACUUGAAGAAGGAAUUCUGAACUCUUAAAGAGAAAAUUCAAAUAUUCACUUGAAUAUUUAUGAUUUUUAAUAGAUUGUCAAUUAGAGAUAUUUAUAAAUGAAGUAUAUACUUUUAAAACAUGUAAGUUAUACUAAUUCUGUGUUUAAUUUCAUGUUUCCAUCUGUUGAAUAUUCUGCUGUUCUGUUUGUUUAGAAUUGUUAUUUUCUUAUUCUGUUCUUUACUUCCAGUUGUCAGACUUAAAUUACCAUCCUAAUAAACACUGUUAGCAGUCUGUUAUGGAAAAGGAGAGCUAGAGAACAAAUAUGGCUUCGGAUUAGGACCAGUGAUAAAAAUUUCUCAGUGACUUUUGUGUUCUUAGCCUUGCCUGAUGCCACCUUCUGAAGGCAGAAGUGUCAGUGUGGUGAACGGUCCUUUCAGUGUGUGGUUAUGGAGGGACUAAAGAAUCCCUAGGACUUCAACUUCAGUUUCAUGGGUUUUCAGUUAAGAUUUUUAGUUGCUGCUCUUCUUGCUAUUUUGUUUUGGUCUAAAGGCCCUGCUUCAGUAAAGGCGAAUGUGUACUGUCCCUUCCCUUAGCUGCCCAGCCAGACAGCCCAUGUGUGUUGUGGGCUGCUCCAGAGGGUUCUUUAUUUAAAACCCAUGCUAUGUAUCCAUUUCUUUUGAUUUUGCAUUUCUUUGCCCUGUCUCCAAUUUUAGAAAAUUUUUGUUUAGUUUGACAAAAAAAUUUGCAUAAAUAUGUAAGUUUCACUUUGAUAAAAUUUGAAUGAAUAUAUGGACUUAUAAUGCCAUUUUAAAACAGUAUACAUAAAAUUUACCUUUUUAAGUGCUUGGGUUAUUUUUUAAGGGUUUUAUUUUAGAAUACAAUCUAUUUAAUCUUCUCUCAACCUGAAUUUCUUCGGCAGUUAUUUUAACAGGUAGAGGAGUUCAGGGCUCGUGAAGCUUCCCCUCUCCCUACCUUUCUUUUCAUUUUGGUUCAUCUUAUAUAAAUGGACUUUGUGUGACUUGUACCAACAGAUGACCUUCAUGUCCUAAGCUCAUUUUCUAAAGCUGCGAUUUAAAUAUCCUCCAAUAUUUAAAAUAUUCUUUUAAAAGCUGUUUAGAGAUAGAAUGUGAUUAAUUUGGAAGGAGCCAUCUUUGGAGAAGUAACGCGGGUACCAAACCUCAUUUCUCUUUCGACUCUUCAGUCUUUUAUGAAGUAAGUGCUCUUAAACCCACACCUUCCCUGCCAGAGUCUGAAGCGUGUUAUGCCAUGACUUAGUGGUGUAUUUUAAACUGUCUUUAGUCGGCUCAACCCUCUUUUAAAAAUAUCUGGUCAUCCCUUGGAGGUUUAUGUUUGAAACGUGUAAAGUCUCACUAAUUAUUUUCUUGCCCAAUUUCAACCUUUAUAGACCCAGGUUUUUUUGUUGUUGUUGUUGAUGGUGGUGACUUUUUGUUUGUUUGUUAAGUUGAAUAAAACAGGCUUGAUUGGAGCCUUCUCCAUUUCUUCAUUUUUAGGGAUGUAAAUAUUGUGUGUAGUAGAGGGGAACCUUAAGGUAAACUUGUCUAAAAAGUGAAUAAGUAAUCUUGCUCAUAAAUUAAAAAUAAUUAUUCUUAGUGUUCAUUCAGAGUUUAAUAAAAUGUGAAAGCUUUGCACUUUGUCUAUUAUUACUGUAAGUUUAAAAAUCUUUUUGGUAGUGUUACUUCAUUGUUCCCUCAGUCAAAAGCUAUUAUUUAAAUUCUGUUAACCAGAGAAAAUCCUUGGUCAUUUCCAAUGACUGUUGGAUUUUAUAUUGUUUGUUUGUUUGUUUUGUUUUUUCUUUACUGUGAUUUGUUUCAAGCUUAGGAAAAAAAUGUAUAUUAGAAUGAGUUCUAGGAAACUAAAAGGUUAAUAUUUAAAGUUCUUCUCAAGUGUUUAAUGAAUUUUUGCACCUCUGAGAAAAUAAACAAAUGAAGUAUUCUUAAGCUGAAAUUUGAUUAACUUGAUUUUACCACAAAUUGGAUUGUGGGGGGGGGGGGAAGCCUACAUUUUUGUGUCUGUGUGUAUUUCUUAAAUGAUUGUAUAGGUGUAGGACUGUUUUGUAGCCUGGUGGUACUGUAUGAUCUUUGUGAUAUAACCUGUUUUUCUAUGUCCCAGACCUUUUGUCAUGCAGAGACACUAGAGGACUGACUGCCUUGUACAAACGCUUGGCUGGUAAUUCCUCUCUCAUUUUGUCUUUAUCUCAUCACCUAAUUUCAAAGUCCAGCACUUGAUAAUAUAACUGACAGAAAUGAUUGUACCAGCUGACAGAGUCAUGAAAAUGAAGGAAAAGAAUUCCUUCCUUCAAUGGCAUGAGUUUUUUUUUUUCCCUUAAGUGGCAUCUAUGUAAGUUAGAAAUAUUAUGUAUUAAAAUUGGUGAAAUUUGAA